rnacentral:sRNA from 1 species
AAGUUCACAAAAUAAAGAUCACGCAGCGGUGACGUUGUGUUCUCAAGUGGGGAUCAA